CAGUCGCCACGGUAAAACGUAGUGUGCGAGCGUUAAUCGGAAUUACUGGGCGUAAAGCGUGCGCAGGCGGUUUUGUAAGAUAGGCGUGAAAUCCCCGGGCUCAACCUGGGAAUGGCGCUUGUGACUGCAAAGCUAGAGUGCGGCAGAGGGGGAUGGAAUUCCGCGUGUAGCAGUGAAAUGCGUAGAUAUGCGGAGGAACACCGAUGGCGAAGGCAAUCCCCUGGGCCUGCACUGACGCUCAUGCGCGAAAGCGUGGGGAGCAAACAGGAUUAGAGACCCGCGUAGUCCCUGUCUCUUAUAC
rnacentral:rRNA from 1 species